CAUCAAGUCUAACUUUAAUAAUUAUAUUCUAAGAUUCUUGAGACAGUGAUUAACGCCCACAAUAAUUUUUCAAAUGUUUUUACGUAUGUCAUCGCAAUUCUACAGUCAAAAUUAUGAACUAUACAGUUCAUAAUAUGUAAUGAAAUGUCAAAGUGAAAACUAUAGUCAUCAGCUGCGACGAGGGCAAUGUUUAUGAUGUCGACUGUUGUGUUCAACACUUGAACAUGUUAAAAAAAUAUAAACCAAUUAACAAAAUUGUGAAUAACGUCGUUUGAGGAACACAUAGAUAUUAAACAUUUAAUAUCAAUGGGUUCCUGUGAACCGUGCAUAGAUAAUGUGAAUAAGAAAUAAAAGAAAGAAAUGAUAAAAAUAAUUCAAAUGUUAUUUUCAAAUAAUGUGCAAAAAAACUGUUAUAACUUAGCUAAUAAAAAAAUCAGUAAUCACCACACACGAUUGAAGCAAUUGCCAAUGGAUUCAGAAUAUAAUGACAAUGAUAGAUGAUAUAACCUUAUACUUAAUAUGUUGAGAUGAUUCAUUUAAAAAUUGAAUGUACUCUAAAUUAGUUACCAUUAUGUCUGUUACAAUAAAACACAGUAUUCAUACAAAACAAUUGAAGCAAUAACCAUUGGAUUCAUGGUAUAAUGCCAACGAAAGAUGAUAUGACAAUAAACUUAAAAUGUUGCAAUGAGUAUUUAAACAUUGAAUAUACUAAACAUUAAUCAAAAUUAUGUCUACAUGCCUAUAACUACACACUGCAGUAUUCAUUUCAAACAAUUUUUGCAACAUCAACUGGAUUCAGAGUGUAAGAGUGAUGAUUGAUGAUAUGACAUCACACAUAAAAUGUUAAAAUCAAAUAUUUGGAAAAUCAAUAUGUAUAUAUUUAAUCAUAAUUACGUGUAAAUAUACUGUUUUAUUUUUUUUUUUGCUAACAAGAAAGUCAUAUUUAUAUUACACAUUUGAAACAUUUACUACUAAAAUAAGAUGUUAAUAUUAACCACAUAAAAUAUGGUU